GCCAGCAGUCAUGUUACCCUGCAGCUCUCAACUGGCUACCCACUGAAACUAAGCAGAGUUGAGCCUGGCCAGUACCUGGGUGGGUGACCUCCUGAGACGCUAUGGUUGCUGCUGGAA
rnacentral:rRNA from 1 species